ACGAGAAAGGGAGCAAUCCUAAGUAAAGUGGCGUACGGGUGAGUAACACGUGGAUAAUCUACCUUUUAGUGGGGAAUAACUCUGGGAAACCGGAGCUAAUACCGCAUAAGCUCGUGAGAGGAAAGCCGAAAGGCGCUGAAAGAGGAGUCCGCGGCUGAUUAGCUUGUUGGCGGGGUAACGGCCCACCAAGGCGAAGAUCGGUAGCCGGCCUGAGAGGGCACACGGCCACACUGGCACUGAAACACGGGCCAGACUCCUACGGGAGGCAGCAGUGGGGAAUCUUGCACAAUGGGGGAAACCCUGAUGCAGCGACGCCGCGUGAGCGAUGAAGCCCUUCGGGGUGUAAAGCUCUUUCGACGGGAACGAUAAUGACGGUACCCGAAGAAGAAGCUGCGGCUAACUACGUGCCAGCAGCCGCGGUAAUACGUAGGCAGCAAGCGUUGUUCGGAAUUACUGGGCGUAAAGAGUGUGUAGGCGGUGUUCUAAGUCUGUUGUGAAAUCUCCCGGCUUAACUGGGAGGGUGCGGCGGAGACUGGAAUGCUAGAGUAUGGGAGAGGUAAGCGGAAUUCCUGGUGUAGCGGUGAAAUGCGUAGAUAUCAGGAGGAACACCUGUGGUGUAGACAGCUUACUGGACCAUGACUGACGCUGAGACACGAAAGCGUGGGUAGCAAACAGGAUUAGAUACCCUGGUAGUCCACGCCCUAAACGAUGCAUACUUUGGUGUGAGCCAUUCAUUUGGUUCGUGCCGGA
rnacentral:rRNA from 1 species